GACGAACGCUGGCGGCGUGCUUAACACAUGCAUGUCGAACGGAAAGGCCCUGCUUUUGUGGGGUGCUCGAGUGGCGAACGGGUGAGUAACACGUGAGUAACCUGCCCUUGACUUUGGGAUAACUUCAGGAAACUGGGGCUAAUACCGGAUAGGAGCUCCUGCUGCAUGGUGGGGGUUGGAAAGUUUCGGCGGUUGGGGAUGGACUCGCGGCUUAUCAGCUUGUUGGUGGGGUAGUGGCUUACCAAGGCUUUGACGGGUAGCCGGCCUGAGAGGGUGACCGGCCACAUUGGGACUGAGAUACGGCCCAGACUCCUACGGGAGGCAGCAGUGGGGAAUAUUGCACAAUGGGCGGAGGCCUGAUGCAGCAACGCCGCGUGCGGGAUGACGGCCUUCGGGUUGUAGACCGCUUUCGCCUGUGACGAAGCGUGAGUGACGGUAAUGGGUAAAGAAGCACCGGCUAACUACGUG
rnacentral:rRNA from 1 species